rnacentral:lncRNA from 1 species
AUCAACCAUCCCAUACUCUAGAUUCCAAACAUGUUCAGGGUGGCAUGAAAAAUAUUAAGCCUCACUUCUCCACCUCCCCAAGUAUCUGAGGGGAACCUGCUCUUAAACAGUGUGUGUCUAAGAGUAGACACCAGUUUCUCAUUGUCUGGAAGACAAGCCUGAGUGUGAAAGGAGAGGCAGGCUGGGAAAGGGGAGACUUAGUUCCUCAGACAACAGGAAGGAAUUUGAGAUUAUGUACUUAAAAAGAUUAUGUAGUGGCUACUGCAACUCUUAUACGUUCUUCUAGUAAUAUAACCUAUUUUUGUGUACAUGGAGUUGGAAUUUACCUCAGAUGAUACCAUCUCUUCUGGCCCCAUGUCUGUAUUCAUCCAGGAAUAAUCCUUUGUUAAAAAUAAGCCAAUGAGAACCCAUUCUAGAAUAUUUUAUCAAAAAGUCAUCAUGACCAGAUAGCUUGUGUCCUUCUUGCUGUCAGCAGCCAUAUAAAGAAAAUACAUCUCCAUGGGAGAACAUGAUCAGUAUAAAAUUUUCCCACUUAUAGACAUACAAUGGGAAAAGUUGUCAGAAAGAGUGAUUUUAUGUAGUGUGGAAAGGGAAAGACCUCAAUGGGGAGGCCAGCAUGGAGGGACGGAGCCAUUUGAAUAUCUGGAGGAAGCUUAUUAUAGUCGUUAAAGAUACAUUUUCAGAUAAGUAUUAGUCUCCAUUUUCACAAAAUGUUUGGCUCUUCCCAAUAUUACACAUAAAAUUUACAUUU